rnacentral:rRNA from 1 species
GACGAACGCUGGCGGCGUGCUUAACACAUGCAAGUCGAACGGAAAGGCCCUGCGUGCAGGGUACUCGAGUGGCGAACGGGUGAGUAACACGUGGGUGAACUGCCCUGCACUUCGGGAUAAGCCUGGGCAACUGGGUCUAAUACAGGCUAGGAGCCAUUUUUAGUGUGAUGGUUGGAAAGUUUUGUCGGUUUAGGAUGAGCUCGCGGCCUAGCGGCUUGUUGGUGGGGUAAUGGCCUACCAAAGCGGCGACGGGUAGCAGGCCUGAGAGGGUGGACGGCCACAUAGGGUCUGAGAUAAGGCCCCGACUCCGACGGGAGGCAGCAGUGGGGAAGAUUGCACAAUGGGCGCCAGCCUGAUGAAGCAGCGCCGCGGGGCGGAUGACUGCCUUCUGGUUGAAAACCCCUUGCGCUAGGGACGAAGCUUUUUGUGACGGUACCUAGAUAAGAAGCCCCGGCUAACUACGUG